GACGAACGCUGGCGGCGUGCUUAACACAUGCAAGUCGAACGAAGUGGCGAACGGGUGAGUAACGCGUAAUCAACCUGCCCUUCAGAGGGGGACAACAGUUGGAAACGACUGCUAAUACCGCAUACUGAAGGAGGGGAUUGCGUCUGAUUAGCUAGGUGGAGGGGUAACGGCCCACCAAGGCGAUGAUCAGUAGCCGGGCUGAGAGGAUGAACGGCCACAUCGGGACUUGGACACGGCCCAGACCCCUACGGGAUGCAGCAGUGGGGAAUCUUCCGAAAUUGACGAAAGUCUGACGGAGCAACGCCGCGGGAGAGAUGACGGCCUUCGGGUUGGAAAGCUCUGUUAAUCGGGACGCGGUACCGGAAGAGAAAGCCACGGCUAACUACGUGCCAGCCACCGCGGUAAUAC
rnacentral:rRNA from 1 species